UACAGAGGUCUCAAGCGUUGUUCGGAUUCAUUGGGCGUAAAGGGGUGCGUAGGCGGCGCGGUAAGUCGGGUGUGAAAUUUCGAGGCUUAACUUCGAAACUGCAUUCGAUACUGCCGUGCUUGAGGACUGGAGAGGAGACUGGAAUUUACGGUGUAGCGGUGAAAUGCGUAGAUAUCGUAAGGAAGACCAGUGGCGAAGGCGGGUCUCUGGACAGUUCCUGACGCUGAGGCACGAAGGUCAGGGGAGCAAACGGG
rnacentral:rRNA from 1 species